CCAGACUCCUACGGGAGGCAGCAGUAAGGGAUAUUGGUCAAUGGGGGAAACCCUGAACCAGCAACGCCGCGUGAGGGAAGACGGUUUUCGGAUUGUAAACCUCUGUCCUCUGUGAAGAUGAUGACGGUAGCAGAGGAGGAAGCUCCGGCUAACUACGUGCCAGCAGCCGCGGUAAUACGUAUGGAGCAAGCGUUAUCCGGAUUUACUGGGUGUAAAGGGAGCGUAGGCGGCCUGCCAAGUCUGAUGUGAAAUACCGGGGCUCAACCCCGGGGCUGCAUUGGAAACUGGCAGGCUGGAGUGUCGGAGAGGCAGGCGGAAUUCCUAGUGUAGCGGUGAAAUGCGUAGAUAUUAGGAGGAACACCAGUGGCGAAGGCGGCCUGCUGGACGAUGACUGACGCUGAGGCUCGAAAGCGUGGGGAGCAAACAGGAUUAGAUACCCCGGUAA
rnacentral:rRNA from 1 species